rnacentral:rRNA from 1 species
CUAUGGUUUAUUGGAUCGUACCCGUUAAAUGGAUAACUGUAAUAACUCUAGAGCUAAUACAUGCCACGAAGCCCUGACUUGUACCUCUCGGUAUAGGGAUGGGUGCACUUAUUAGAUCAGAAACCAACCGAGCCUGUGUCAGCACCGCCUUCUCGGAGGUGGCUGGUGUGGACUCGUUGUCGUUCUGGUGACUCUGGAUAAUUGUUACAGAUCGCAGUCGGCCUUGCGUCGGCGACGGGUCCUUCAAAUGUCUGCCCUAUCAACUUUCGAUGGUAGGUGAUCUGCCUACCAUGGUGAUAACGGGUAACGGGGAAUCAGGGUUCGAUUCCGGAGAGGGAGCCUGAGAAACGGCUACCACUUCCAAGGGAGGCAGCAGGCGCGCAAAUUACCCACUCCCGGUACGGGGAGGUGGUGACGAAAAAUACCGAUGCGGGACUCUUCAAGAGGCUCCGUAAUCGGAAUGAGUGAACUCUAAAUCCUUUCACGAGGAUCAAUUGGAGGGCAAGUCUGGUGCCAGCAGCCGCGGUAACUCCAGCUCCAAUAGCGUAUAUUAAAGUUGCUGCAGUUAAAAAGCUCGUAGUUGGAUCUCGGUAUCACUGUUGCCUGCCAUUGCUUGGCCAGCUGGGUGCCGGGUGAUGCGGCUGAAUGCUGUGUUGCCUCUGGUGUCCGACUGUCGUCGAGUUGGUGUGGUGGCGGUGCCACCUUUUAGCCAUGUCUGUGGUGAAAUACCCACAGGUGUGGGCGAGUGUCGGGCGGUGCUCUACAGCUGUAGGGUCCGUCGGCUCGUCUGCAUGCCUUUGGAUGCCCUUCAAAAGGUGUCUGUGGGCGGAUGGCACGUUUACUUUGAACAAAUUUGAGUGCUCAAACCAGGCCGUUGUAGCCUGAAAAGUUUUGCAUGGAAUAAUGGAAUAGGACUUCGGUUCUAUUUUGUUGGUUUUCGGAUCCGAAGUAAUGAUCAAAAGAGACAGGCGGGGACGUUUGUAUGGUUGCGCUAGAGGUGAAAUUCAUGGACCGUAACCAGACAGACUAAAGCGAAAGCAUUCGUCAAGCAUGUUUUCAUUGGCCAUGAGCGAAAGUCAGAGGCUCGAAGACGAUCAGAUACCGUCCUAGUUCUGACCAUAAACGAUGCCAACUGACGAUCCGUGGUGGUAGUUUAAUAACCGUCCCCACGGGCAGUCCCCGGGAAACCUUUAAGUCUAUGGGUUCCGGGGGAAGUAUGGUUGCAAAGCUGAAACUUAAAGGAAUUGACGGAAGGGCACCACCAGGAGUGGAGCCUGCGGCUUAAUUUGACUCAACACGGGAAAACUCACCCGGGCCGGACACUGUGAGGAUUGACAGAUUGACAGCUCUUUCUUGAUUUGGUGGUUGGUGGUGCAUGGCCGUUCUUAGUUGGUGGAGCGAUUUGUCUGGUUAAUUCCGAUAACGAACGAGACUCUAGCCUGCUAAUUAGUGCGCCUGUCCUCUGUUCCUGUGUAAGCGGCUCUCAGCGCUACUGCCUUUUCAUGCUUGGCUGCCUGUGUGCUGUUCUGCUCACGGUCGGUUGCGCCUCUCGUCGGGUAGGCAAGUCUGUCGGCUUCUGCUGAUGAUGGCCUAUCUGUAUGUAGUUGGUGUGCUGGCUAGCUUGAGUGUUCAUGCGUGCGACAGUUGAGUUGAGGCGGUGGAGUAGGGGUUGGCUUCCGGGUUCGGCGCAGGUGUCUACUUCUUAGAGGGACAAGCAUAUACAAAUGCACGAGAUUGAGCAAUAACAGGUCUGUGAUGCCCUUAGAUGUCCGGGGCCGCACGCGCGCUACAAUGACGGUGCCAACGAGUUAGACCUCCUGGCCCGAAAGGGUUGGGCAAACUGGUCAAUCACCGUCAUGUCAGGGAUCGGGGCUUGGAAUUGUUCCCCGUGAACCAGGAAUUCCUAGUAAGUGCAAGUCAUAAGCUUGCGCUGAUUACGUCCCUGCCCUUUGUACACACCGCCCGUCGCUACUACCGAUUGAAUGGUUUAGUAAGGUCCUUGGAUUGGUGCCAUUGUAGUGGCUACCGAAAGGUAUGUCCACUCGACAGGCGCUGAGAAGACGACCAAACUUGAUCAUUUAGA